AUUGAACGCUGGCGGAAUGCUUUACACAUGCAAGUCGAACGGUAGAGGGGGCAACCCCUCGAGAGUGGCGAACGGGUGAGUAAUAUAUCGGAACGUGCCCAGUCGUGGGGGAUAACGUAGCGAAAGUUACGCUAAUACCGCAUACGAACUAAGGAUGAAAGCGGGGGAUCGCAAGACCACGGGCGAUCGGAGGGGCCGAUAUCAGAUUAGGUAGUUGGUGGGGUAAAGGCUCACCAAGCCAACGAUCUGUAGCUGGUCUGAGAGGACGACCAGCCACACUGGAACUGAGACACGGUCCAGACUCCUACGGGAGGCAGCAGUGGGGAAUUUUGGACAAUGGACGCAAGUCUGAUCCAGCCAUUCCGCGUGCAGGAUGAAGGCCCUCGGGUUGUAAACUGCUUUUGUACGGAACGAAAAGGUCUCUCUUAAUACGGGGGGCUCAUGACGGUACCGUAAGAAUAAGCACCGGCUAACUACGUGCCAGCAGCCGCCGUAA
rnacentral:rRNA from 1 species